AGCUUGGAGGUGAUGCAGAGCCAAGCAGAAGUUCGUGUUCAAACGAUCCUGUUGAAGACAGUUUCUGAAACGACUACACCUGGAUUUUAAGCAGAAUGAUGAGAAUAAAAACCCACCGGAGCGUCUCUUUGAUGACGGCCUUCAGGUACGGCAUGUGAGUGAUGUCAUCGCUGGUCGGCACCUUAUCUCCAGGACAAACACCGACCACUUCC